AUUGAACGCUGGCGGCAGGCCUAACACAUGCAAGUCGAACGAGUGGCGGACGGGUGAGUAAUGUCUGGGAAACUGCCUGAUGGAGGGGGAUAACUACUGGAAACGGUAGCUAAUACCGCAUAGACUCGGCUGUGCCCAGAGGGGAUUAGGUAGUAGGGAGGGUAAAGGCUACCCGAGGCGACUAGCCCUAGCUGGUCUGAGAGGAUGACCAGCCAGACUGGAACUGAGACACGGUCCAGACUCCUACGGGAGUCAGCAGGGGGGAAGAUUGCACAAUGGGCGCAAGCCUGAUGCAGCCAUGCCGCGUGUAGGAAGAAGGCCUUCGGGUUGUAAAGUACUUUCAGCGGGGAGGCGUUACCCGCAGAAGAAGCACCGGCUAACUCCGUGCCAGCAGCCGCGGUAAUAC
rnacentral:rRNA from 1 species